CCGCCAACCCGCACCACUCAGCAGUAUUCUGCAGGAAGGAGCUGUCAGCUGUCUCAACUGCCACUAAGAACACAAAAUGUCUGCAUUUCAUAUUUGUUGUCACUUGCCCAUAACUUCUGAAUUAAAAUUUAUGGCAAAUUGCGUCUUUGGAAGAGCAGGAGUGAGAAUAAAGUAGACCUUAAGAAGUCUGACUUUCUUAGGAACUCUGACUGUCUGCUGAAAAAGAAAGGUUCCCUUUAAAUACAGCAACAUGCUUUCAUCUCCAGCUUGGCCCUGGUACCGCUCUAUCUCCCUAUGUUGAAGCCCUCAAAAGAUGCCACUGGAACAGCCAGACGCUCUCAAAAUGACCCAGCCGCUCACCUUCUGAAUGGAAAGGUAAUAAAAAGGUGUAUGUAGACGGGUAUUGAGCCACGCUCUUAGGGGUGCUAAUAUGAGCAGCUGAAUGCCAUUGAUUCUGUGCAGGAGAGAACGAUCUGCUAAUGUUUGAGAGAUUUUUAUUUUUCUGAAGAGGAGAGUAAUGUGGUUUUACGGGCAUCUUGCUCUUGAUGUGUUGAGUCCAAUCCAAUAUUUGAUUAGCAUUACUUGUUUGCUGGUGAGGUGUAAAUAUUAGCCAUUCACCGGACUCGUGAUUAAAUGUCACAGUCCCCAGGUUUGAAUACCUGCUGAGCCCAGUGGUGAAUGACCUUUCCCUCCCUACAGUGUAUCUCCUAUGGGCUUGUUUGCAGGCCAAAUUCCACGGCAG